GGUCGCUUAGCUCAGUUAGUUAGAGCGUGGUGCUAAUAACGCCAAGGUCGCGAGUUCGACCCUCGUAGUGACCA
rnacentral:tRNA from 1 species